rnacentral:tRNA from 2 species
GCCGCUGUGGCGGAACAGGCAGACGCAAGGGACUUAAAAUCCCUCGGUGGCGACACCGUACCGGUUCGAUCCCGGUCAGCGGCACCA